CCUGCCAGGGUGAGAGGCAGGCGACGCCAUAUAGCCUCAGCAGCUGAGUGUGUCGUAAAGCCCCACUGACAGCCAGACAGCGUGCUUGGUCGGCGUUGCGAUCUGCUGUGUCGGUAACGUUCAUUACAUGCAUACUGGUUAGGCGUAGUUUUGGGUGUUUUAACAAAUAUAUAUAUCGCACUUUUCGAUUGGGCUGGGACAUUUGCGCUUGUCUCUUAAUAGCCUUGGAUCUUCUGCGUUGAAGCUUUGCCUGUAUGUUCACUUGGCAGGCAUGGGUAAACAUCCAUCACGUAUGAAAGUGCGCUGUGGGCACGUGAACUGUGGUUUUAAUGGGGAAGGAAGAAACUUGAAAAGGCACAUGAACACUAAGCACAAAGGGCUGCCAAUUGUCCUUAAGAAUUCAAGUUUUGGUGCAGGUGGAAUGUGGGAAUCUUGGCUCCAAGGAAUGAACAGUGGCACAGAUGGCAGAGAAUAAGGCGUCAACACUUUUGAGAUGCCAAGUAGGUCAUCCAGUCUAGCUGUGCUAUCAGUUUCUGCAGACAAGAUUGGAGGAAUUGCAAGCUGCACAGUGAGUAGAGCCCACGAUGAUGCCACUUCUGAACCAGCAUCUCUGCAUCCCUGUUCUGAUUACCCAUGAAACUCCAGUCAGAAAACUGCAGGUACUAAGAUGAGCUGCAUUGGUUGGAUUUGUGACACCUGAAAUGCAGCAUGUCCUGACUGUUGAUCUUAAAAUGGCCCCUGCAUAGAUAUGGAUUUGAUGGUGUGAUGACAAAGUCAAUUUUGGGUUGUCAGUCAUGUAACAAUACUGUACUCUGUUGCCAAAAUAUUUUUGCCUCAUCAUGGGAAUUCAUGCUCAGAAUAUUUCACAUCCAUUUUGGUCUCAGUAAAAGUAUGUCUACCACUGUCCAUUUAACACUUUUGUUUUAUUUAUCAUGCAGUGCUUAGAUAUUGAUAUUGAAUGGGGAUGCCAAUUUUCAUUGACAGUUUGGGUGUUUCCAAGAAACCAGGGCAUUGUUGUGGGGUAAUUCUGGUGCUCCUGAUAUUUUGUCAUUAACCUGCCUCUUCCACAGUUUUCCACAGUUUCCACAGUUCCACAGUUCCAUACUACUGGGCGUAUAAUUGUUAAGGUGGUGUUUAGUUUUAACCUGUAUCCUUGUUCAAGCCUGCAGCUUAUUGGGCCGACAAACGCACCCGAAAAAGACAAUCACCAAGCAGCCAAAUUUCUGCACGAAAUUCAUACACCACCUGUGACUUCUGAACCUGGCUCGAAACGAUUUAUCCCUUUGCGAUUCGAUCUCCCUCGGACUCAAGCAAACUGCAAUCCACAGGUCCGUCCUAUCGUGGCGUCUUGUGCCGCCCUGGUCCGCAACUUGAAGGCAAGGAGAGAGGGAGCUGGCGCGGGUGGUGGAAGAAAAGGAACAGCAAACAGGGUGCUCCUGCACAACAUGCUCUAUGUCCGGUCGGUUGGUGACCUAAAGGGUUUCCGAACCUAACAAAAUCAUUCGACACCCAGGUGAGCACAGUCUCCGAAGCCAUCGGACAUCUGGUGUCCAGCAAGCUGAUCCCGCCAUCGGCUGCGGCGCCGAGCUGCAGCGUUCGCGAAGCAAUCAGCAUCCUGCGUAGUGAGGAACGCACUAGCUCCAACCAAGCUCUCUUGAGAGCUUUGUGGAAGCGUGGUCGCUCGAUCGAAUCUUUCGUCAGUCUAGUCGUCCGCGCGUGGCUGCUCAGCCAUGUCGAAAGUGUGGUUGAGUCCAUGGGCACCGUCCUCAAAGAGGUUUUCUUCAUGCAUCGGUGGCUGAGGCAUGACAAUGCCACGAAGGAGCUCACGAUUCGAUGGAAUGGUCCUGAGCUUGAUGGUGCCGAACAUCCCAUAAGAGCUGUUCAGAAGUGUCACCAAUUUGACUUCGUGAGGCGGUCUGUCAACGUGAAGCACCUGCUCACGGGAACGGUGAUCGCCCGGCAUAGAGCAUACCUGUCAUAUCGCUCCUGCCUUUUCAAAUAGUUGAAGAGGAAAGGAGUGUUGACAUCGUGAGUCAGCCCUUGGAUAAAAUUUUGCAUGCGCGGUUAACGUUCUGGAGCUCACGGCGAGUGCUGAAGUACUGUAGACAGGGUUUCGUUGUGUGCUGAACUGUACGCGGCGUAUUUGGCAUUUUGUACUGACACCAUGUCGGCGCGAUUUUGUCCAUAUCCAAGGUGAAUUCAGCGUAAAUACAAAAAAUCGUCGCCAA
rnacentral:lncRNA from 1 species